AGUAACUGCGAGUGAAGCGGCAAAAGCUCAAAUUUGAAAUCUGGCGUCUUUGAUGUCCGAGUUGUAAUUUGGAGGGAUAUCUUCGGAGAUGGCGCCGUCCUAAGUUCCUUGGAACAGGAUGUCAUAGAGGGUGAGAAUCCCGUGCCUGGAUGGAUGUCCAUCUCCAUGUGAAGUGUCUCCGACGAGUCGAGUUGUUUGGGAAUGCAGCUCAAAAUGGGUGGUAAAUUUCAUCUAAAGCUAAAUAUUGGCGAGAGACCGAUAGCGCACAAGUAGAGUGAUCGAAAGAUGAAAAGCACUUUGAAAAGAGAGUUAAAAAGUACGUGAAAUUGUUGAAAGGGAAGCGCUUGAGAUCAGACUCAAUCUUUGGUGAUCAGCUGUGCUUCUGUACAGUGCACUUGCUAUUGAUUGGGCCAGCAUCGGUUCCGAUGGUGGGAUAAAAGGCAGAGGAAUGUGGCUCUCUUCGGGGAGUGUUAUAGCCUCAGUCAUAAUGCUACCAAUUGGGACCGAGGACCGCGCUUCGGCUAGGAUGCUGGCGUAAUGGUCUUAAGCGACCCGUCUUGAAACACGGACCAAGGAGUCUAACAUCUAUGCGAGUGUUCGGGUGGAAAACCCUUGCGCGGAAUGAAAGUGAACGGAGGUGGGAACCCGGAAGGGUGCACCAUCGAC
rnacentral:rRNA from 1 species